ACCUCUCUCGCAAGGUAAAUUCGUGGCGCUGCUACUCAACCAAGGAGAUUCCACCGCCAAGAUCCGCGCGUACUGGGAACAAAUCGGUGCAAAGCCCGGUUCGUCUGUCCAAGUGAGAGAUGUUUGGGCGCACAAGGAUUUGGGAGUUUUCUCGCAAGGCUACAUUGAAGAGGCUGUGGACGCGCACGCCAUCAAAAUGUACGUGGUGGUGCCAAAAUCAUAAUAUUUGAAAGGGAUCGAAUAUACUCUGCAUUUCCCGCCAACUUA